AGCGUUGUUCGGAAUUACUGGGCGUAAAGGGCUCGUAGGUGGCCAACUAAGUCAGACGUGAAAUCCCUCGGCUUAACCGGGGAACUGCGUCUGAUACUGGAUGGCUUGAGGUUGGGAGAGGGAUGCGGAAUUCCAGGUGUAGCGGUGAAAUGCGUAGAUAUCUGGAGGAACACCGGUGGCGAAGGCGGCAUCCUGGACCAAUUCUGACGCUGAGGAGCGAAAGCCAGGGGAGCAAACGGG
rnacentral:rRNA from 1 species